rnacentral:rRNA from 1 species
AGCCUGAACGCUGGCGGCGUGGUUAAGACAUGCAAGUCGCACGGUGUAGCAAUACACAGUGGCGAACGGGUGAGUAAUGAAUCGCUAAUGUGCCCCGGACUCUGGGAUAGCUAGCCGAAAGGUUAGGUAAUACCAGAUGACAUAUUCCUACCGCAUGGUCGGGAAUCUCAAAGGUCCGCCGGUCUGGGAGCAGGCGAUUUCGUAUCAGCUAGUUGGUGAGGUAACGGCUCACCAAGGCGACGACGCGUAGCCGGACUGAGAGGUUGGCCGGCCACAUCGGGACUGAGACACUGCCCGGACUCCUACGGGGGGCUGCAGUAACGAAUCUUCCCCAAUGCACGAAAGUGUGAGGGAGCGACGCCGCGUGUGGGACGAAGUCCUUCGGGAUGUAAACCACUGUCAGGGGAUACCAAGUUCUGAGGAUCCCCAGAGGAAGAGGCGGCUAACUCUGUGCCAGCAGCCGCGGUAA